GUAUAUCUAGAAUUCUAAGCUUAAUUUCUGAUUUUGUAGAAAACUAGCUGUGAUGAGUUAAGAAUGACUCCCAUAGGCUCAUACAUUUGAAUGCUUAGUCAUCAGGGAAUGGCACUACUUAGAAAGACUAGGAGGUCUUGCUGGAGGAAGUACAUGACUGGGUGUGGGCUGUGAAGGUUCAGAAGCCCAAGCCAGGCCCAGCAGCUCACUCCCUGCUCCCUGAGGAUUCCAAGAUAGAACUCUCAGCUUCCGCUCCAGCACCAUGCCACCAUGCUGAUAAUGAAUGACGUCUCUGAAAUGAUCAGAGCUAUAUGGGCCAGAUAAACCAUCCCAACACUCAAUAUGCCUUUUCAUCAAGAAGUGACCCUGGGGCUAUGAAGGAACUGGAUUACCUCCCAUUUCCAGAUAAAUGGGGGAAGGAGGAUUUCUCUCCUGGCAACUUCAUGAGAAACCUCAUAUGCCAAAAGCAACACAUUGUUCUGAAAAAUGCUGAGACUGAUGCCGAAGCCCCUACUGUGUAUAACCACAGCAGCUUACAUUUUAAAUUUAUAAGAUGAAAAUUAAGAUGCAUACUUAUUGAGCUAUGUUGAUGACUUCAUGAAAUAAGUAUAUUUAAAGUAUUUAGACUAAGUAGCAAUAACCUGAAGAGUUUUAAAACCAUUAGUAUUUAUCAAAAUACCUAAAAUAUUAAAUUUAGGUAGACUAGACAUUUUAUUUGGGUUACAUGUA